rnacentral:rRNA from 1 species
CCUACUGGAGGCAGCAGUGAGGCAUAUUGGUCACUGGGCGCGAGCCUGAACCAGCCAAGUCGCGUGAGGGAUGACGGUCCUACGGAUUGUAAACCUCUUUUGCCGGGGAGCAAGCGUGCGUUCGUGAACGCGCGUCGAGAGUACCCGGUGAAAACGCAUCGGCUAACUCCGUGCCAGCAGACGCGGUAAUACGGAGGAUGCGAGGUUUAUACGGAUUUAUUGGGUUUAAGGGGUGCGUAGUCGGGAUGCCAAGUCAGCGGUAAAAAUCCGGUGCGAAACGCCGGUGAGCCGUGGAAACUGGCGUUAUUGAGUGGGCGAGAAGUAUGCGGAAUGCGUGGUGUAGCGGUGAAAUGCAUAGAUAUCACGCAGAACUCCGAUUGCGAAGGCAGCAUACCGGCGCCCUACUGACGCUGAGGCACGAAAGCGUGGGUAUCGAACAGGAUUAGAUACCCCGGUAGUC